rnacentral:rRNA from 1 species
CUGAAUAAGGGCAUGUGGGGGAUACCUAGACUCUUAAGAGCGAUGAAAGACGUGGUCUGGCUGCGAUAAGCUUCGGGGAGCUGCCAAACAAGCUUCGAUCCGGAGAUUUCUGAAUGGGGAAACCCACUACGGUAGACCCGUAGUAUCUUGCGACUAAGCAAGAUGCGAACCUCGGGAAGUAAAACAUUUCAGUACCGAGAGGAGAAGAAACUAACUAGUAUUCCCUUAGUAGCGGCGAGCGAAACGGGAUUAGCCCAAACUCAAAACUGUCCCGUGGGCUUUUUGCCCACGGGACAGGGUUGGGGGUUGUAAGACAGUAGUAAUGGUCGCAUCACAUUGCAUGUGAUGCAGAGACGAAAGAGUAAAAGAGCAGUAAGAGAUGAAAUGGAUGCACUUUGUCGUAGGCAAAAUGCAUAGAAUCCUAAUAUCUCUUUCUUCUCUCACCUCUCUAUUAUCUCUCGAGCAUCGCGUGUAGCGUGAUGCGACCGAAGAGUUACAAAGCAUAACAGUAGAAGAACACGUUGGGAAGCGUGGCCCUAGAGGGUAAUAGCCCCGUAUUUGAAACUUUUAUGCCUCUUUGAGGCUACUGCUCUUGAGUAGCUCAGGACACGAAUAGCCUGAGUGAAUCUGCCAGAACUAACUGGUAAGGCUAAAUAUCUUAAGAGAUCGAUAGUGAACAAGUACCGUGAGGGAAAGGUGAAAAGAACCCCGGUUAGGGGAGUGAAAUAGAUUUGAAACCGCAUGCCUACAAGGAGUCGGAGCGGACAUCACAUUGUGUGUGAUGUCAGAGCUUAAAGAGUGAAAGAGAAAAAAGAGAUGAAAGGUUGCAUUUUGCUAUUGCGAAAUGCAAAGAAACCUCGCAACUCUCACCUCUCGAACAUCUCUCAUUGCUCUAGCAUCACGCGUAGCGUGAUGUCCGUCACGGCGUGCCUAUUGAAGAAUGAGCCAACGAGUCGAUAUAUAUGGCUUGGCUAAACCCUUUUCGGGUGGAGCCACAGCGAAAGCGAGUGUGAAUAGCGCGAACUUAUAGUCUUAUGUAUCGGACCCGAAGCUAGGUGAGCUUGCCAUGAGCAGGGUGAACCCUUUCGAAAGACAGGGGGAGGCCCGAACCGCCAGGUCGUGUAACGCCUUCGGAUGACUUGUGGUAAGAAGUGAAAAGCUAAUCGAACCUAGUAAUAGCUGGUUCUCUCCGAAACAGCUUUAGGGUUGGCGUCGCGUGUUCCUUUUGGGGGUAGAGCACUGGAAGGUCUGAAUAGGGAGAAAUCUCGUCAGUCCUAUCAAACUCCGAAUACCAAAAGUUAACCCGCACACUAACGUUGCCAUCGCCCCUUUUAUAUGAAGAAUUGUCUGUAAAGGUGAUUCGAUAUUAAAGGCGGUGUUGGAAUGAUUAUGUGCCAUUGUCAUGGCAGAAAUAAUGGCAAUGUUAGUGUGCGGGUGAAGAACGCGGCAGUUAGGCUAUGGGGGCGAAGCUCCAUUGGCCGAAAGGGAAACAGCCCAGACCGCCAGUUAAGGUCCCAAAAUUGAUACUAAGUACUAGCAAGGAUGUGAGGUUUCAGAGACAAUGAGGAGGUUGGCUUAGAAGCAGCCACCCUUUAAAGAAAGCGUAACAGCUCACUCAUUCAGAGACCUUGCGCCGAAAAUGAUCGG